UAUAGUAAGUAAAUUCCAUCCGAGCUUCUAUUGCAAGCGGACUUCAUCCGAGUUUCUAUGGUAAGUAGACUUCGUCCGAGCUUCUACAAUAAGCGAUCUCUAUCCAGGCUUCCACGAUAAUCGGUCUCCAUCCGAGCUUCUACAGUAAGCAGCCUUCUUUCAGACUCCUACAAGAAUCAGACUCCAUCCGAACAUCUACAGCGGAUGGAUUCCAGACGAACUUCUACAAUGGACGGGCUCCAGC
rnacentral:lncRNA from 1 species